rnacentral:lncRNA from 10 species
CAGUUGCAACCGGUUUCUGAAGUCUGAAGGGGCGUCUCGAUUACCUGAGCUCUCUGAAGGUGAAGGGCCUUGUGCUGGGUCCAAUUCACAAGAACCAGAAGGAUGAUGUCGCUCAGACUGACUUGCUGCAGAUCGACCCCAAUUUUGGCUCCAAGGAAGAUUUUGACAGUCUCUUGCAAUCGGCUAAAAAAAAGAGUGGGUAUCCUGGGGUUCCCAAGGAAACAGCUAGAAAGGACUUGGCCAGAGGAAAAGUAGGCUAGAACUUUUGUCUGGUUUCCUGCUAACUGGCUCUGAGUUUUCCUAGGGCAGGUAGAGGGGAGAUUUGUUAGUCUUCAGCCUAAAAUGGAUUUGUCCAGUCGUCUGGGGGCUUUCUACUUGGCUGUGGAAUCUUGAGCAGGUCAUUUAACUUCUGGGCUUCAGUGCCCUUAUUUGCAAAAUAUAGAUAUUUACUAAACCAGUGGUUUUAAACUUGUAAAACAGUAGGUUUUUUUGGGGGGGGGGAAUCCCAAAUAUUG